UACGGAGGGGGCAAGCGUUGUUCGGAAUUACUGGGCGUAAAGCGCGCGUAGGCGGAUAGUCAAGUUGGGGGUGAAAGCCCGAGGCUCAACCUCGGAAAUGCCUUCAAAACUGGCUGUCUUGAGUCCGGAAGAGGUAAGGGGAAUUCCUAGUGUAGAGGUGAAAUUCGUAGAUAUUAGGAAGAACACCAGUGGCGAAGGCGCCUUACUGGUCCGGUACUGACGCUGAGGUGCGAAAGCGUGGGGAGCAAACAGG
rnacentral:rRNA from 1 species